CGCGCCGCGAGAGCGCCGGGGUGCGAACCUGGGGCCGACGGACGCACAACGGCCGGGGGGUUCCAACCCGCGUGCUCGCGGCGCG
rnacentral:misc_RNA from 2 species